rnacentral:lncRNA from 1 species
ACCCAUGUGCUUUUAGACGAAAAUAUAUAUGUUCUGUUGACUUAACGAUCAUGGUUGAAAUAAAAGAAUCAUUUAGGAGAAAUAUUAUUCCAUUGUUUUCAGAAGAAAGAGCUACCUUCCUUUUCUUUUAGAUAAUGAAACAAAUAUUUGAUGUAUCAAAGGUCUGCAUGUUCAAGCCAAUGAAUCUCUCCAUUGAGGCGCUCAAUCACAGUGAGUACCGACACUAAAUCACUCAUUAGAUUUCUAUUAUUCCGGUCAUAUCGAAGCUAUUUAUUCAUUUGUUGCUCAUUAAUACAUGUAUUCUUUGUUCUUCAAUCUUUUCUAUGAAACAUUAGUUUGCACUUUUGCCACUCAUUUGUCUAAACCACUCUGCAGUACAUCUCCUCUUUGAAGGAAUCGGUUACUUGCUUUCCUGCCGGCUUGUGUUAUACUAUGCAUGUCUUAUUGUUCAAGUUCUUAAUUACUUGCUUGUGUAUCUGCUGAUAAUGAGUUACAACAUAUAUCUAGCUUCGGGUACACAAGGAUUUGAAGGGUACCAAAGGAUUAGGUUCUUCUUUUUCUCGGUGCUAAUAAAUUCUAAGUUAAAAAAUUGUUAAUACUCCAAUAUUCCUCAACUUUUCAAGCUCGUUUGUUGAGACAGAGUAUAAUAUACACUAUUGUGGUACAAAAGGAGUACUACAUAUGGAAUUUUGUGUUUGCAACUAAGAAUGUUUCUCUUUCUAAAACUAAUGUACUGUAAAACUACAAUAAUUUAGCCUGUGGGUAUAAAAUACUGUGGUUUUGACAUAACAAAGUAUUUUGGAGUAUUGAGAAUACCGUGGACCUGUUUAGCAAGUUUUUAUGCUCCAACUUAUUUUGAAGUAGUUUUCAAACGUGUACAUUGCUAUCUAGUUUCAGACGUGCCGCAUUGCUAGCUAGCCAGAUGUUGCAACAAAAAGUUAUAAAUGAGAAUAUACCACGUCCGAAUCAUAAACCGGAAGGAGGCCGAAGGAGAUGGAUAUCAAAACCAUGCCACUGUAUAACAAACAACGUCCGGGUAAGGAAAUUAUACUGUGGUUUUGACAUAACAGAGUAUUUUGGACUAUUGAGAAUACCGUGGACCUUUUUAGCAAGUUAUGCACCUACGUAUUUUGAAGUAGUUUUCAAACGUGCGCAUUGCUAUCUAGUUUCAGACGUGCCGCAUUGCUAGCUAGCAAGAUGUUGCAAACUGAUGAACAGCCAUGCACAGAACACUGGCAUGCACAAGCUAGACCGGUGAAAUACUCUGGUUACUGCAGUAGUUGCGUGUGAAGAAGUAAAAAAACUGCAGGUACUGAAUUUAGAAGUCACGCUUCUCUGUCUACUGAUACCCCGCUCUUUCUAGAACCAUGCAUUCCUGUCCAGAACCCAAAUGCCAGCUUUGCCUUGUGCACGCAUUCAACGACACCUGACCUAACUGCACUCUGCAUCCUUAGCUUUCAUUUGUCUGACCACUAUCUUGACAUAGCAACAACCAAGCUUACAUUUUUCAGAAGUGUCUUUGUUAUUUUACAGAGUGGCUUCUGCAAAUGCCAUAAGAAGCAUCUAUCUGCAGAAAAAGUGGAACCACGAUCCCGCAGCAGAAGCAGAUUACUCAACAUAUACAGUUCUUCUUCCCAGCAUAUACAGGUCCAAAUAGCUAAGGUUUUACAGGAAAUUAAGCUACAUCACUACAGGUUGAAAAAUGUGUUGAUACAGAUAUUCCAUACUUCCAUUAUUGUUGAAAUCGCCCAAGGAAUCAAUCCACAGCUUUACCAAAGCAGGCAACUGACAGGAGGGUUCAGAACAUGAGCACAUCGCAUUCCCCUUUAGCUGUAGCAGGACGGUGGAACCGGUGCGGAUUCUCCUCGGCAGCAUCCGCCGUCUAUCGGAGUCCACUCAUCCGCCACAGGUAAAGAUUAGGGACGGCUGAGGGACAGGAAACAAAUCAAUCGAUCUGGGCUUUC